rnacentral:rRNA from 1 species
UACGGGGGGGGCAAGCGUUGUUCGGAAUUACUGGGCGUAAAGGGCUCGUAGGUGGCCAACUAAGUCAGACGUGAAAUCCCUCGGCUUAACCGGGGAACUGCGUCUGAUACUGGAUGGCUUGAGUUCGGGAGAGGGAUGCGGAAUUCCAGGUGUAGCGGUGAAAUUCGUAGAUAUUGGGAAGAACACCGGUGGCGAAGGCGGCUCACUGGCUCGUAACUGACGCUCAUGCACGACAGCGUGGGGAUCAAACAGG